UACGGGGGGAGCAAGCGUUGUUCGGAUUUACUGGGCGUAAAGGGCGCGUAGGCGGCCACCGCAAGUCGACUGUGAAAUCUCCGGGCUUAACCCGGAAAGGUCAGCCGAUACUGCGGGGCUAGAGUGCAGAAGGGGCAACUGGAAUUCUCGGUGUAGCGGUGAAAUGCAUAGAUAUCGAGAGGAACACCGGUGGCGAAGGCGGCAUCCUGGACCAACACUGACACUGAGGAGCGAAAGCCAGGGGAGCAAACGGG
rnacentral:rRNA from 1 species